AACAGAUGAGACCAUUGGCAGAUGGGCAGCAGACUGGGACUUAGGAAGAACAAGAUAGUGUAAGUUUUAAGCAUUGUACCACCAAGACAUGUCUUUAAAUGAAGAAGAGCCAGAUACGCUCCAAAAUUUCCAACUUGGCAGAGGUUUUAUCCUCAACACAGAUGUGAUACAGGAGACUAUGGAAGUGGAUUUAGGUCUGGUACCAGCUUCCAGCUCUGUAGACAUCAGCUACGUUAGAAGAUCCAACAGCAUCCCUUCGGUCAAUGGAUUUGGUGAUAAUUCACAGGGAUUCCAAGUUGGCCCCACAAGAAUGAGAAGGAACGGCUCCCCCUUUCUGAAUCAGCAUGGAUUGCUGUUUCUACCUUCCCGCAGUCGUACAUCUGCCAACCGGAUUUUCCAAAUCAAACAGGAAGAAGGGAUGGAUAUGGCAAUUAGAGAAGCAAUGCAUGAGAGGGACAUGCAUACUGCAAUGCAGAUAAGUCGGAGUACGGAACAAUGUCUAAAUCUGAAUGACAAUAACACCGUGAAGUCAUCCACUAUGAGGAACAUCAAUCCAAAUCCAUUUUCCCCAGUGGCUUCUCUCCCCAAAAGACCUAGGAAGAAUCCACACCACGACCAUCUGACCUUUUAGCUCAAGUAUCCUGGAAACAUCAAAAAGUUUCCAUCAGCAACACUAGGAGAUCCCUUGCAUUUAGCCUUGCCAACGAGGCCAUAUCGGCAAGCUACUGACUGUCUCGGGCUUGAUUCUAGAUAACUAGAAGACAAAAAACAGAAGCUUCCAGAGCAAAAGGAAGAAGAGCUGUCUUAAUUAGGUACAGAAUCUUCCCAGACUGUUCAAGUCACCACCAUCGGAUAGUUCCAAACUAAACUACAAACCCAAGGAGUACAAUAAAAGAAAGAUGCACGUA